UACGUAGGAGACGAGCGUUGUCCGGAGUUACUGGGCGUAAAGGGUGCGCAGGUGGCGGCGCGCGUGGGGGGGUGAAAUCGCCCGGCUUAACUGGGCGGGGGCCUUCCAGACGGCGUGGCUUGAGCAGCGGAGGGGGACGUGGAAUUCCGGGUGGAGCGGUGAAAUGCGUAGAUAUCGGGAGGAACACCGGUGGCGAAGGCGGUUCUCUGGGCCUGUACUGACGCUGAGGAGCGAAAGCGUGGGGAGCGAACAGG
rnacentral:rRNA from 1 species